CACUGUCUCUUCGGGGAAACCCCACCCAACACCUAGUAAGGAAAAAAAGAGGGUUCUACAGCCCAAUAAAGCUGCUUCCCACUUGUCGCGGCGGCUGCUUAACUGCUCAAGAUGUUUCAUCUGGAGGGAGGACGGAGCUGAACGGAAGGAAGCGAGGCCAGAGAGAAGUGCAGCAUGAGAAAAGCGACCGGAGCUCAGCCGUAAUAAAACCUAAUGUCCUGAUCAGAGCGUGCCGUUUCGCCGGGUCCGCGUUCAGCCAUCCCUCCGCCUCGCUGCGAGACGCCGACACCCAACACGGAUUCCGACAGCCCUGCUGACUCACUGCCAGCACGGCAGUCGAGCGUCGGGAAGAGAGAAAAUGUGUUUUCUAUCAAGCAGAGAGCGGCAGCACUAAAGCGCGGCCGCGUAAAAAAGGAAGCGGGGGCAAAUGACCGGAGGGCCGACAUUGUCCUACCUGUCCGACACCGCCCUCAUGAAUUCAUCCAGCAAGUCAUCGUAGGCGCGGCCUCGGACUCUCUUGUGCCUCAGGCCGAUGUAGAGCGGGUCCUUCAGCAGUGCCUGCGAAGGAAACACAUGGGAGGCAGAGGUCCCGAGCAACGGACCCUUUUCUCUGGGGAGGAAUAAAUCCAGCUGUAUAUCUUUACAGCCCCUGCUACAAGACACUGAACCACUGAUGACUGUCGACUUCAGGAAGAUUAUAUGAAGCUGUAUUCCACUAGCUGUGUGAUGCAUGCAGGACUUAAGUUUAGCUUUUAUAAAAUGUAUUUUUGAAGAAGAGGUGUAGCCAGACAUCAAGAAUAGACUGGACCUGCCAACACCCGAAUUAGGACCAAUGAAACCUUCCACACACACACACACACACACACACACACACACACACACACACACACACACACACUGUAUUGAACAGGGUGACAUCACUGACUCUCAUUUCAGCAUGAGUAAGUGUGUGUGUGUGUGUGUGUGUGUGUGUGUGUGUGUGUGUGUUUGUGUGUGUUGAGGUUACUCCAGGCGACAUCAAUCCAAAGCACAUGAAGACAGACACAGUGCAGGGAGAUAAAACAGGAUGAUGAAACAGUAAAAACUGGACUUCUUGAAAACAUUCACUCCUGUACGCUUGCUCUCUCUCUCUCUCUCUCUCUGUUUUUCUGUUAUUUUGU